GACGAACGCUGGCGGCGUGCUUAACACAUGCAAGUCGAACGGAAAGGCCCUGCUUUUGUGGGGUGCUCGAGUGGCGAACGGGUGAGUAACACGUGAGUAACCUGCCCUUGACUUUGGGAUAACUUCAGGAAACUGGGGCUAAUACCGGAUAGGAGCUCCUGCUGCAUGGUGGGGGUUGGAAAGUUUCGGCGGUUGGGGAUGGACUCGCGGCUUAUCAGCUUGUUGGUGGGGUAGUGGCUUACCAAGGCUUUGACGGGUAGCCGGCCUGAGAGGGUGACCGGCCACAUUGGGACUGAGAUACGGCCCAGACUCCUACGGGAGGCAGCAGUGGGGAAUGUUGCACAAUGGGCGGAAGCCUGAUGCAGCAACGCCGCGUGCGGGAUGACGGCCUUCGGGUUGUAAACCGCUUUCGCCUGUGACGAAGCGUGAGUGACGGUAAUGGGUAAAGAGGCACCGGCUAACUACGUG
rnacentral:rRNA from 1 species